rnacentral:rRNA from 1 species
UACGUAGGGGGCAAGCGUUGUCCGGAAUCAUUGGGCGUAAAGAGCGUGUAGGCGGCUCGGUAAGUCUGCUGUGAAAGCCCAGGGCUCAACCCUGGAAGGCCGGUGGAAACUGUCGGGCUAGAGUCCGGAAGAGGCGAGUGGAAUUCCUGGUGUAGCGGUGAAAUGCGCAGAUAUCAGGAGGAAUACCGGUGGCGAAGGCGGGUCUCUGGGCAACAACUGACGCUGAGGAGCGAAAGCGUGGGGAGCGAACAGG